rnacentral:rRNA from 1 species
GUGGGGAAUCUUAGACAAUGGGGGAAACCCUGAUCUAGCCAUGCCGCGUGGACGAUGAAGGCCUUAGGGUUGUAAAGUCCUUUCAGCUGGGAAGAUAAUGACGGUACCAGCAGAAGAAGCCCCGGCUAACUCCGUGCCAGCAGCCGCGGUAAUACGGAGGGGGCUAGCGUUGUUCGGAAUUACUGGGCGUAAAGCGCACGUAGGCGGACUAUUAAGUCAGGGGUGAAAUCCCGGGGCUCAACCCCGGAACUGCCUUUGAUACUGGUGGUCUAGAGUUCGAGAGAGGUGAGUGGAACUCCGAGUGUAGAGGUGAAAUUCGUAGAUAUUCGGAAGAACACCAGUGGCGAAGGCGGCUCACUGGCUCGAUACUGACGCUGAGGUGCGAAAGCGUGGGGAGCAAACAGGAUUAGAUACCCUUGUAGUCC